GACGAACGCUGGCGGCGUGCUUAACACAUGCAAGUCGAACGGAAAGGCCCUGCUUUUGUGGGGUGCUCGAGUGGCGAACGGGUGAGUAACACGUGAGUAACCUGCCCUUGACUUUGGGAUAACUUCAGGAAACUGGGGCUAAUACCGGAUAGGAGCUCCUGCUGCAUGGUGGGGGUUGGAAAGUUUCGGCGGUUGGGGAUGGACUCGCGGCUUAUCAGCUUGUUGGUGGGGUAGUGGCUUACCAAGGCUUUGACGGGUAGCCGGCCUGAGAGGGUGACCGGCCACAUUGGGACUGAGAUACGGCCCAGACUGCUACGGGAGGCAGCAGUGGGGAAUAUUGCGCAAUGGGCGGAAGCCUGAUGCAGCAGCGCCGCGUGCGGGAUGACGGCCUUCGGGUUGUAAACCGCUUUCGCCUGUGACGAAGCGUGAGUGACGGUAAUGGGUAAAGAAGCACCGGCUAACUACGUG
rnacentral:rRNA from 1 species